AACGAACGCUGGCGGCAGGCCUAACACAUGCAAGUCGAACGCCCCGCAAGGGGAGUGGCAGACGGGUGAGUAACGCGUGGGAACGUACCCUUCGGUUCGGGAUAACUCAGGGAAACUUGAGCUAAUACCGGAUACGUCCGAGAGGAGAAAGAUUUAUCGCCGAGGGAUCGGCCCGCGUCUGAUUAGCUUGUUGGUGAGGUAACGGCUCACCAAGGCGACGAUCAGUAGCUGGUCUGAGAGGAUGAUCAGCCACAUUGGGACUGAGACACGGCCCAAACUCCUACGGGAGGCAGCAGUGGGGAAUAUUGGACAAUGGGCGGCAAGCCUGAUCCAGCCAUGCCGCGUGAGUGAUGAAGGCCCUAGGGUUGUAAAGCUCUUUUACCC
rnacentral:rRNA from 1 species